GCCACACGAGUGAGAAUGCAGGCAUGAGUAGCGAAUGACGGGCGAGAAACCCGUCCGCCGAAUAACCAAGGGUUCCAGGGUCAAGCUAAUCUGCCCUGGGUAAGUCGGGACCUAAGGCGAGGCCGACAGGCGUAGUCGAUGGACAUCCGGUUGAUAUUCCGGAACCGGCGAAGAACCGCCCAUGACGAACCUAGUGAUGCUAAACGCCCAAAGCUGUUGUCCAAGACCUUCGGGUUGAGGGUUUCAGUGGAGCGCGUGACCCGAUCUAGUAGUAGUCAAGCGAUGGAGAGACGCAGGAAGGUAGCCUCCGCGUGGCGAUGGUAGUCCACGUCCAAGGGUGUAGGGCGAGCUGUAGGCAAAUCCGCAGCUCACAUAGCCUGAGACCUGAUAGUGACCGCGUAUGCGGGAAGCAGGGUGAUCCUAUGCUGCCAAGAAAAUCUUCUAGCGAGGUUCGAGCCGCCCGUACCCCAAACCGACUCAGGUGGUUAGGUAGAGAAUACCAAGGCGAUCGAGUGAAUCGUGGUUAAGGAAUUCGGCAAAAUACCCCCGUAACUUCGGGAGAAGGGGGGCCCAGAGGGUGAAGGCACUUGCUGCCUAGCCUGAACGGCCGCAGAGACCAGGGAGAAGCGACUGUUUACUAAAAACACAGGUCCGUGCGAAGUCGCAAGACGAUGUAUACGGACUGACGCCUGCCCGGUGCUGGAAGGUUAAGAGGACCGGUUAGUUCUUCGGAGCGAAGCUGAGAAUUUAAGCCCCAGUAAACGGCGGUGGUAACUAUAACCAUCCUAAGGUAGCGAAAUUCCUUGUCGGGUAAGUUCCGACCUGCACGAAUGGCGUAACGACUUCUCCACUGUCUCAACCACGAACUCGGCGAAAUUGCACUACGAGUAAAGAUGCUCGUUACGCGCAGCAGGACGGAAAGACCCCGGGACCUUUACUA
rnacentral:rRNA from 1 species